ACACUGAUGGUGAAACGGUAUCAUGCUUGCCUUCCACUCCUGGGGUAGCAAGCGGCGCGGGUUCGACUCCCGCUCAGUGUA